rnacentral:lncRNA from 1 species
AUAAGUGUGUGGUAGUUCCUCAUGCAUUCAUUCUCCUUCCUGCUGCCUUGUGAAGAAGGUGCUUUGCUUCCCCUUGCGCCGUGAUUAUAAGUUUCUUGAGGCCCCCCCAGACACGCUGAACUGUCAGUUAAAUCUCUUUCCUUUAUAAAUUACCCAGUCUCAGUAUUUUCAUAGCAGUGUGAGAACAGACUAAUACACUACUCAAGGGAUCUCAAUUUAGUUUUUCUCCAAAAGCAUGCUAAGAAUACCUCUAAUUCAGCUUCUUGUUUGUAGAAUAUAUUUAUGUUUGUGGAAAACACACAUUCUGGAUCCUGAUUUGAAUUCUGCUUUGUUAUAAAAAUGAAACUCACAUUGGUAAAAAUCAUAUAACUUGUGUUAGACAAAAUGCUAACAAGUCUCCCAAAAUUCCUGCCCCCAGUUUACAGACAAAUUUCACUUCCAUAAUUAAACUAUAUGAUAAGUCACAGCUGACUGUAAGAUAAAGGGAGAUUAUCAGUUUGGACCUGACCUAAUCAUACAAGCCCUUCAAAUCUGGAGAUUUCACUUAGAACCUCAUAUCCUAAAUCCUUAAAUUAGUAGGUUGACUUAAAUGAAUUCUAAACCAAUUAAAUUCUUUGUGGAAUGCCUAGGAAGUCAGAGAUUGGAAGCACCAUUGUUUGCUUCAGGAUGGAGGGGGCUUCCUGACAAGGACUGUGGGGGACCUCUAGGAGCUGAGAGCAGCCCCCACCUGAGAACCAGCAAGAAAAUAGAGAAUAAGCCUGGAAGCAACUUUUCCCCCAAAGCCUCCAGACAAGACCUCAGCCUGACCAACGCCUUGACUUCAGCUUGGUGAUAUCCUGGGCAGAGAACUGAGCCAUGGCUUGUCAUGCCAGCAUUCUGACCUACACAACUGUGAGCCAAUAAACAGGUAUUGUUUUCUGCCGUUCAAUUUUGGUAAUUUGUCACAUAGCAAGAGAAAAUUAAUACAUGACACAAAUUUUGAUUUGGAAAACAUGGUCACCGGAAAUAUAACUAGAAACAUAACAUUUGACCGCUUACCAGGUACCAUUGUUCAAAAUCCUUUACAUACAUUAACUCAUUUUAACCUUCAUAACAAGUCUAGGUAGUAGUUAGAAUUAUUUUUUUCAUUUUCUCUUGGUUUUACAGAAAGGUUAAGCAACCUGACCAAAGUCACACAGCUUAUAAAUCACAAAGCUGACAAAUAGCAGAGCUGAGGUUCAAAAACAGCAAUCUGGUUUCAAAACCUACUCUUAACUACUAUACUACAGUGUUUCCCAUUUUCAUAGCCUAUCCAGAGCCACAGAUGUCUCCUUCUCUCAUAUACGCAAGUUAAAAUCCCUAGGUGAACCAGUGCUUGAUUAGCUACGUUUCCUGUUUCUGCAUUGGUGAUCAUGGAAACAAAUGCUGAGAAGGAGCCUCUGCUGCCUGGGUACGUGAAUGACCACGGUGAACAGAGGGCUCAGUAAGGAACCCUGACGGACUGGUUUCAACUACUGUAGUGGGGGAAGACAAUCUGAUAUGAGGUAAGUCUUCUUAUAUUUAUGUACCAGAGAUGGGAUACUUAGUUAUAACAUUAACCUAGCAGAAGUAGAAUUAGGGUUAAUCCAGUGAAAAUUCAGCAAAAGUAAAUGAAUUCAAAUCCUUUUGUUAUACUAUACAAACUUUCACUUUAGAGAUCUUUAAUGAGAUUUGUUUCAAUAAAAUUAACUAUUCAAAAAUAUCAUGAAGUGAUAGGUUUUCAACUACUGUUAAUUUUUUAUAGUUCAACUAACAUGAAUAGAAAUUUAUACUGGGCUGAACACGGUGGCUCACGCCUGUACUCCUAGCACUUUUGGAGGCCAAGGCGGGUGGAUUGCCU